CCUAACCCACAGCCACACUCAGCAGAGCCAGAGCAUGCCUCCCAGCAGGGGUGUGGCUGUAGGGGCCUGGAGGGGUGGGGGGUGCUCAGGACAGCAGCGAGGAGCCGUCUGCCCUGUGGGGCCGUGGGUUUAAGAGCAGCUUCCCUGGAGCAGUGCUGGAGGGGCUGGCAGUUCUCCCCACAAUCCCGGGGCGGUGCGGAGGGCACAUGCUCUGGCCUGCACGUGAAGUGCAGCUCGGGUGGCCCUAGACCAAGGAGGCAUGCUGCACCACGGUGCCCGGAUCACAUCCCUCCUGCACCCAAGCUGCCCGAGGGAGGUGUCACAGUGGCUCCGCAAAGUCAGAGGGUCUGUUCUCCAUUUGACUGAAUGAACCCAUCGGCCUCUGCCUUUGCCCCAAGACGCAUGUGGUGCCCAAAACACGCUUCAUGUCUGCUGGAGUGCGCACCCGUCUGCUCCCCAUGUCCACAGAAGGGACUGAAGAGGUCUGUCGUCUCAGCCUCCAGGUGGGAACCCAGGACACCGUCUCCUCCGACCAGCUCUUGCGCAGUCUUCCCAGCCAGCUAACGUGCCCUUGAGGCAAUGCCAUCGUGAGAAGUCAGCCUCCACACCCUCAGAUACCCCACACAGAUGAGGAGCCGCAGUUGGGCAAGACCAUCCCAGGGAAAGAUCUAAUGGUCUCCCACCCUUCUGCCAGCCGCUCAAAGACAACGGGAGGCUUUUGCUAGCUGCUCACCAACAUGGUUUUGUUUUUAAGAGAAGCCAUCUUGCUGAGGAGGGACACAAACUGGCAGAGCCCUGCCAUCUGUGGGCCACGCAUUGUGCCACAGCGGCCAGGGACGACCAGCGCCCCUCUCUCAGCCCAGCGCCCUGUCCUCUAAGGGUGAGCGGUCCAGGAGCCACGCGAGACAAGUCAAGACGCACACCGGGAAGGAGCUCGAUCAUUUUUACUGAAAUGACAACAAAAAAGGAAAGUGCCAGCCUCUAAGAUGUAACCUCCUGGAAUCACAGCCCCCAGCACAGGCGAUUUCCUGGGGUGGGGCUGCGGAAGGCAGAGGGUGAGGACAUUGCCCUAAAGGGGGCAAAGCUGGUUCUUGGGGGUGAGGAAAAUCUUACUAGUUUUAUGUACAAAGCACAGAUAUACAUACAUUACACGAACUUGGAGUCUAUCUCUUGUUAAAAUGUGUGGAGGGGGUAGGGGCAGUUGGGAAAAACAGGCCUAAAAAGCUUUGGGAGGGGAGGUGACGAGGCUGGGAAACACCAGCAACAGAGUAACUAUCUUCCUUUUGGCUUACUUCCUUCCACUUGAAUCCCCAAACAUUUUUCGCUGUUGCAAGUAUGGAAUGCUAGUUCACAUUGUUUGCAGCUAUUCAGUUUGCAUAUUCCUCUCCUGCAGUCGGGACUGAACAAGGCUGAUGAGGGGCCGCUGUGUGCAGGCCCUGCAGGCUUCGGCUCCCUCAUGAAAUGCUGUGUCUCUGUGCGUGGCACUUGUACUCUUUGAUGUCUGUGAGGUAGACGAUCAUCACCGUGAUUUACUAAUCCAUUCAUCCAUGGUUUUUUAAAUUUCUAUUGAAUGAACAAUGUCUUUGCCUGUGUUGAAUGACUGUAUUGUCUUGAGGUAAAACCUUGGGAGAAGAAUUAGAGAAGUUUGAUGUCACAGGUUGCUUAAACCACCCCUGCCACAAAGAGGCUCUUUUUCCGCUAAGGGAGGGGUAGCUCAGACACCCCGAACUCCAACAGGGCAGGGCAGAGAGGCUGCUACCCAGCCUCUGCUGCCACACGCUGUCCCCCCUCAGUUCGGAGGGGCUGCCUGGACUGCCUGUGGUCCCCAAAGCUGGGAGCCUACAAGCCCAGCUGUUGCACCAGCCAGGGGCAGGGCCACUGAAAUGAACACCACUGCUCUAAUCAGAGAUGGGACAAAGGACUGGCACUAUGGUUUACCCAUCUGUUGAAACAACUUAUUUCCUGCCACUUAUCCAGAGCAGGACAGGGAGAGAAACAAAGAGGGGCAGAGAGGACAGUUUCCUCCAAAGCAAACACUGCAUCAUGCGCCUGGGUUCCUCCCUCUUCAGCGGGACUGGCACGGCCCUUGGCAAACGGGGGCUGUUGACCUGGAAGAAGGCUGACUCUCUUCCUGUCUGGUCUCCUGAAAGAUUCACGGAGGCCUACAGAUGGAGUCAUUAAAAGCACUCUGGCCUAGAUAUCAC